NNNNNNNNNNNNNNNNNAGCAAGGCUUUGCAUCGUAUUUCGAUAUGAAACUGUUAGAAGCACCUUUAUUUUGAAUAGCCUCUAAGAAAAAGUUGGAUAGAAAGAGUCUAAAUGAAAUAUUCUGAUUAAUAACAGAACCUAUACUAUAAGAUGGUGAAUUUCUGAUCAGAAAGGUGAAAAGUUCAUCCACAGCUUAAGUGGACAAAUUUAAUUUUCUAUAACAUUCAUAUCUGAUAGAUUAAAUAAACAGGUACAAUUUCCUUAAGAAACAUGCUUUAUAAGUUUUACGGUCACUACAUUCUUUAAAGUUAAGGGUUACAUUCCUGGGAGAUUAAAUAAAAGCUGCAAAGUUAACAGUUGACUUGCCUGAGGAGCUCCUUGUUCUUCCUCAGUAAACAUUGAAGAGAAAAGUAAUGUAAUAUAACAGAAACAGAGCACGCAUCUGAUAAACAUGUAACAGCAAAAGGGAGUGCACAGGCCUUUGCCCUACCUGGCUGGUGUCCUUUGUUCGUUGUACUUCUGAGGUUGCCAGAAUGUAAAUGUUCAUUUCACUAUCUUAAAUGAGCAGAGUAAUAACCAGAAUCAUACUCUGAAUUCUAAAAGCUCUUGGAUCAAGAAGAUUC
rnacentral:lncRNA from 1 species